GCCUCUGUAGCUCAGUGGAUAGAGCGGCAGCCUUCUAAUCUGCGGGUCGUAGGUUCGAUUCCUACCAGGGGCA
rnacentral:tRNA from 1 species